AGCACGUUAUGGUGGGCACUCUAAGGAGACUGCCGGUGACAAACCGGAGGAAGGUGGGGAUGGCAUCAAGUCAUCAUGGCCCUUACGGCCUGGGCUACACACGUGCUACAAUGGUCGGUACAAAGGGUUGCCAAGCCGCGAGGUGGAGCUAAUCCCAUAAAACCGAUCGUAGUCCGGAUCGCAGUCUGCAACUCGACUGCGUGAAGUCGGAAUCGCUAGUAAUCGUGAAUCAGAAUGUCACGGUGAAUACGUUCCCGGGCCUU
rnacentral:rRNA from 1 species